ensembl:lncRNA
CGCAGCCACGUCUCCAGGAGCAGGCAGCUGGUGCCCUCGCCGCAGGGCCUGGGGGGAAUCCCACCUCCAUGCGUGCUCAAUAAGCAGCUCGGUGGGGAAUCCUAACGUCUGCUGAAGCGUUUGCAGUACAGCACUGAACUGGGGGUGCUGGGGGUGCCUCUCCCCGGGCGUGCUGGUGCCUGGGCUCCUGCUCCGUGAGGAGGCUGCCCAGUGCCUGCGUGCACCAGCUCCUCCCGUGGCACCUGGCAUCUCCGUGUGCAUGCUUUUAAGUAAGCUCCAAUACCCCUGCAGAGAAAGUGUUAAAUUCUGUCAUGCUAAAGGUCACAGGGAGACCCAAUAAACGCCCAGUUUAACAAUGGGGAGAAAUAUUUUUAUCGGUAACCUUUCGAGAAGCUAGUUUAAUUGCAUGCUAACAGUCACUCACUGAGGGCUGCUAGGAGCUACACGGAAGGCAAAUGACAACAGUUGAAGGGUCGUUAAAGUUUGACUCUGGGCUUUGCUGAGUUUGACGGGGUAGGUUCCCUGCACGUCUGGCAUGUCUCCAGCGCUGCAGGAGCAUCCCUGCAGCCAGGCUGGUGGCACAGCGUGGCAGCCAGGAGCCACAGCUGGCACAGACCUGCAACACAAGGGCAGGUGUAGAAAGGGUGGUGGGAUGGAAGGUUUUUCAGAGGAAUCUGCUGAGUUUGGGGAAGCCAGAGCUUUUCUUCUCAAUGACUUUUUGUAUGCAGAAUGCAAGAGCUACGGUGCACAGGGCGGAGACAAUACCCCACGUGCGUCCCCCAGGAGGGAACCAGCUCCCUGCUCAGUGAGGGGUUGGAGCAGAGCGCCUGGUGGGGACGGGCAGCUGCAGCGCAUCACGGGGAGCCUUUAAGUUGGUGCUGCCCAGGGCAGCUUGCUUUUGGCAGGAGAGCUGAGAGGAUCAAGAGCUCCUUCUUUCAGGGCUCAAAGAGCCUGAUGGUGUGUGCAACGGUCACCGCAACUUGUUCUCCUAGUGCUGCUUCUGUUGGCUGUGGAAAUGCUGCAGGCCCCUGCAAGGGCACUGUCCCCAGGUGUCCCCGUGUCCUGCUGCAGUGAUGCCAGCUCUGUGGGAUAAAGAGCACCGCAACCUCCAGUCACCAUGGCUGCUCUAGCAAUUUCGCCUUUUAUACACACGCGCAGCCUAACAAUAGCAGAAUGGGUCCCUGCAGGCAGGGAAUAUCAAGCAAAGCCGCUUUUGUGAUUCUGCCUGCAGUGCAAAGCGAGCCCUGCUUCGUAGCUCUAGAUAUUAUCUGCAAGCUGCUCUGUGUAACUUUAUUUAGAUCUUUCUGCAUUAAUUGCAUGGAGAAGGGCUCAAAAGUUCAGAAUGUGAGAGAGG